UACGGAGGGUGCAAGCGUUAAUCGGAAUUACUGGGCGUAAAGCGUGCGUAGGCGGUUUGGUCAGUUGGAUGUGAAAGCCCCGGGCUCAACCUGGGAAUUGCAUUCAAUACUGCCAGGCUAGAGUACGGUAGAGGAGGGUAGAAUUCCUAGUGUAGCGGUGAAAUGCGUAGAUAUUAGGAGGAAUACCAGUGGCGAAGGCGGCCCUCUGGACCGAUACUGACGCUGAGGUACGAAAGCGUGGGGAGCAAACAGG
rnacentral:misc_RNA from 1 species